UAUCUUAUUUGUAUGUAUUCCUUGUAUGCCGUUCAGUGAAUCCAUUGGUCAUGAGUAAAACCAAUAAAAUUACAUUUAUUAUCUUGUAGCCAUAAAACUGAAUUACAAUUUCUUGAAGGCGAAAAUCCACAUUUAAUUUCUGUUUUCAAAUUGAUGAAAUAUUGUAGCUACUAUUACGGCUCUCUCAGACCCGGGAAACCAAAGCUUUUGGGCUCCGGGGGAAGUAUGGUUGCAAAGCUGAAAUUUAAAGGACCUGACGGCAUGGCAGGGGUAGUGGAGCCUGAGGCUUAAUUUGAAUCAAUAUGGGAAAACGUGCCAGGUCCGCACAUAAGCGUGUAAGAUAUAUAGAUAGCUAUUCCUCGUAUUCCUCGAAUCUAUCGUGGUUCAUGGCCGUUCUUAGUUCGUGGAGUUAGUUUCGAUAACGAACGAGAUUCAAAUAGACUAAAUAGAUGCUCUUAGGGUUAUGGCGUUGAAGCUUUCAUUUGCGAGCACAGUAAAAUGUGUGAGUGUUUGAAUGUGUUCAUAAAAGUGCAACCGCACCUGUUGGUUUGUCCUUUUAUAGAACACUAGCUUCUUAAAUACGCAAAUUGCGCCUAGCAAUAAUGAGAUUGAGCGGUAACAUGUCUGUAAUGCCUGUAGACGUCCUGGGAUGCACACGCGCUACAAUGGAAGUAUCACCGCAUAUUUCCUAGACCGAGACGUACGGGUAAACCGCUGAACCACUUUCAUGCUUAGGAUUGUGAACUUAAACUGUGCAUUUGAACUUGGAACUCCCAGUAAGUGUGAGUCAUUAACUCGCAUUGAUUACUUCCCUGCUCUUUGUACAAUCGCCCGUCGCUACUACCGAUUGAAUUAUUUAGUGAGGUCUCCGGACGUGAUCACUGUAACACAUUUUAUGUGUUGCGGAUGUUUCGCAAAAGUUGACCGAACUUGAUUAUUUAGAGGAAGUAAAAGUAAACAAGGUUUCCGUAGGUGAACCUGCGGAAGAAUCAUUA
rnacentral:ncRNA from 1 species